UUGAUUAUUGUUUCCUUACUUCCUUCCUGAAAAGCAAAACCCUCCUCUCCGUCUACCUCUCUGCUAGUGCCAGGAAAGGCGGUGAUGGCAGAAAGAAACAGCUCCUGUCCUCCUGCCUGCGGUGAGAUUGAGAAGAAGACUGACGAAUCAUUUCAGCACGACUUGCCUCCUGAGGGAUGGAGAUACUUAACCGAUGAGGAGUGGGAUCGUUACCAGAGACAAGUCGCCGAAACCGAUGGCUUCGAUGUUGAUCAUUUCAGCGAUUAUGUUUAUGCCUAUAUGAUUCGACCUGUGCCGUUAGAAUGUGUUUCGAAGGAAAAAGAAGCUACUCUGAAAUGUCUCAUCGAUAAAGCCGUUGAGCACUACAACGCUUGCAGCAACGCACAAAGGUCUUUAUAUAUCUCUCUCUCCUAGAUUCUCGUGUGGUGCCUUAUAAUUUUGAGGGGAUGACCGGUAAUCUCAUGCUACAUGAUUAAGCGGAGCUUGCAUAUUCCACCAUGAUGGUCGACCGACGGAAACUUUUUCAGACUAUGAUCUCUGCUCACCUUGUGAUUAUGUUUCGUGGGACAGAUAGCAACUAGUACUAGCUAGCACUUGUUGAUGAUGAUGGAUUCUGCUUUUUCAGACUUAUUGGCGGCUUGUCUUAAUCUAUUUUGAUGCAUCCAGUAUAUGAGCAUCACAUAUUGAGAUUUCAAUUAUCAUUGUGACAUCGGGGGUGUUCGUGAUUGACGUGGGGUUGGGAUGCACUGGACAAGUCUUCAAUGUUCAGAAGAAGAAUGGAGGGAAAUGUUUCAUGCUGCAA